ACUACCUAUGCUCAAACAGUAAUAAGAACUAAAAGUGCCAAAACUUAAAUUAGAGUUCUUUCAUAAAUCUUUUGCCUAUUCAAAACUGAACAAAAUGGUAACUAUAUUAUUGCAAAAUCAUUUCCAGUAUUUUCAUUUGCCUCAUAUUUUGCUGUUUUUGUCUCAAAGGCUAUUUCAUUUGAUGUCGUUGAAUUUUAGUUUCAAUAAGAUCAAAAAUGACAAGUUGAUUUGUUUGUUGAGAUUUUAAUUUUGCGGAUUGAUACAACCAAGAUAUCUAUAAAAAGUAGUCCGGCACAAAUAAUGAUGACAUGAUGUUACAUCAUAUAUAUUCUGACACCCUUGUCUCUCAUAGAUAUUCUUGUAUACUCUGCAAUCCUGCAUCAUUAUAACACCCUAUUCACCUCCUAACAUCUUCUAUUUCUUGCACACUUUUCAGUGAAUCAUGACUAUCUUUCCAGAUAAUGACUGUAAACUUUUCCAAUCAGCCAAUUUGGACCAGUCACUAGAGGAGGAUGUAGUGGCACUGUUACAUUGCCAGGCAACAGCAGAUCUGAAAGCAAUCAUACGCUGGUACAAAAAAUGGCCGCUCCCUGAAAAGACUGGAAGAUAUUUACUGCUUGAUUUCAAGACUGAAGGAAAGAGUUUUAUAAAAUCAUCACCAGACUUGACCGAAUUCCCAGGAGCGCCAGAGAAGCCUGUUGUCAGUGAUGUCACAGAUACCAGUGUUCACAAGUCAUGGAAACUAUUUCUUGAUACAGACCGGUGUAUCUCCAGUUGAUUGUACAGAUUAGAGUACUUCGGAAAUGGCUUAAAAUUAUCAGAGUCCUGGAAGGUAGCAAGAGCCUGUUAUACCAGUACAGAUAUAACUAUUGAUUGACUGGUUCCAAACACUACUUGUGUUUUCCUUGUCAGAGCAGUAAACUUUUUAAUUAUUGGCCGUAGGGAAAAACCGAGGCCACUUUUCUGUGGUACAACAUGGAUGGUACUUCAAAUUUUUAUGUCUAUUUUUACAUAGCUGUACCUGAUAAGGAUUUUUUUGUAGACUUUGAAUAUUUUUUUUUGUGGAACUAGAUUUGUUUUUUGAAGUUUUCCUUUUGUUGUUACAGUCCUUUGGGCUUCAACAGUCAAGUUCUUAAAAUUUUGCUUCCAUCCUAUGAUGUAAGCCUUCGGGCGUAUAUUGCCCCGCUUGGCGGCGCUCUUGUUGUAAAUCGCUUCCACAUACUUUAGUUACAGUUCAUGUAAAUUUAUAAAGUUGUUAUAUAAUAUCAGCCAUCUUAAGGACAGUUUUGUGGAAAAUAAAAAUCCAAUAAUAGAAUUUGUUUAAUCUUUGUAUAUGAACACACUGUCAUGUUAGAAACAGAAUAAUGAAAAAAAAAAUCGAAGAUCACCACGCUUGUUCAGGAAUUAUCGAUCUGAAAUUGCAGUGAUGAUCUUUAACAUGGCCCUAUAGGAAAAAAACAAACAAACACAAAAUCUUGUUGGAAACAAGAUUUAUUUAUAACU